UACGUAGGGUCCGAGCGUUGUCCGGAAUUACUGGGCGUAAAGCGUGCGCAGGCGGUUUUGUAAGCCAGAUGUGAAAGCCCCGGGCUCAACCUGGGAAUGGCAUUUGGGACUGCAAGGCUUGAGUGCGGCAGAGGAGACUGGAAUUCCUGGUGUAGCAGUGAAAUGCGUAGAUAUCAGGAGGAAUACCGAUGGCGAAGGCAGGUCUCUGGGCUGACACUGACGCUCAUGCACGAAAGCGUGGGGAGCAAACAGG
rnacentral:rRNA from 1 species